rnacentral:rRNA from 1 species
AGUGAACGCUGGCGGUAGGCCUAACACAUGCAAGUCGAACGGCAGCACAGUAAGAGCUUGCUCUUACGGGUGGCGAGUGGCGGACGGGUGAGGAAUACAUCGGAAUCUACUUUUUCGUGGGGGAUAACGUAGGGAAACUUACGCUAAUACCGCAUACGACCUACGGGGGAAAGCAGGGGAUCUUCGGACCUUGCGCGAUUGAAUGAGCCGAUGUCGGAUUAGCUAGUUGGCGGGGUAAAGGCCCACGAAGGCGACGAUCCGUAGCUGGUCUGAGAGGAUGAUCAGCCACACUGGAACUGAGACACGGUCCAGACUACUACGGGAGGCAGCAGUGUGGAAUAUUGGACAAUGGGCGCAAGCCUGAUCCAGCCAUACCGAGUGGGUGAAGAAGGCCUUCGGGUUGUAAAGCCCUUUUGUUGGGAAAGAAAAGCAGCAGGUUAAUACCCCGCUGUUCUGACGGUACCCAAAGAAUAAGCACCGGCUAACUUCGUG